rnacentral:rRNA from 1 species
CGAAGGAAAUCAGUGCUUACUGAGUCAUAUUUUUCACUCUGCUUGCAGAUUGGGCGCUGUGUCUUGGUGUGUGCCAGGCUUGGUUGGGUUUGUUGGAAUCGCGUGGUGAGAGUUGAUCACUGCAUGUCUGCAAUGAACUUGACUGAGGUUGACAAAAUGGUUUUCUUUACCCCGUCUUGAAACACGGACCAAGGAGUCUAACAUAUGUGCGAGUAUAGGAGUGUUAAACUCCCAUGCGUAAUGAAAGUAACAGUGGUUGGACCUUUGUGGCACAAUCCGCCGGCCUCAAUCCUUCGGGAGAAUGGUCUGAGUGUGAGCACACAUGUUGGGACCCGAAAGAUGUGUGAACUAUGCCUGAAUAGGGUGAAGCCAGGGGAAACUCUGGUGGAGGCUCGUAGCGAUUCUGACGUGCAAAUCGAUCGUCAAAUUUGGGUAUAGGGGCGAAAGACUAAUCGAACCAUCUAGUAGCUGGUUCCCUCCGAAAUUUCCCUCAGGAUAGCUGCAAUCGAAUGUCAAUUUUAUCA